GUGAAGGUGGAGUCAUACUCGCCCAACCUUUUUUAGAAGAAAAAUAUGGAGGAGCUUAUAAUGAACAUUGCUAGUCAUACUCGCCCAACCUUUUUGAGAAGAAAAAUAUGAAGGAGCUUAUAAUAAACAUUACUUCUACGUACUGCGUUGUUGGCGCUACUGUUACUCAUACUGGUGCAGAUGCCGCAACAACACCUGCUGCGGGUGAGAAAAAGAGGAGAACUUAGACAUUGAGCUUGCUGGAAGCCACAGCUAGCUAGAGUACUGAAUGUCAUUUUCAAAUAAGGGUAUAUGUUGUUUUUCGAGUUUCUUUUCGUGUGGAAGCCACAAACAAAUAACUCUUUGCAUCUAUCCUGUUUUGUUAUGGUUAUAUUUGUUUUUUUUCAUUUGUGUACAACUCUUCUUUUAAUCUACUAUUUUCUUUGCAAUACUA